rnacentral:lncRNA from 1 species
GGAAGGAGGAAGAAGGGAGGGGAGUACAGCAGGAGGAGCCUUUUUCUUUUUUCCCUUCUGCUGUGCUGUCCUAAGUUAUUUUCAACUUAAAGGAAAAUCAAAACUCUACUACUGCUUUGGUGAACAAGGACAAACUCCAAAGAUUUGGAAACAUCUACUUUGAAGAUCAUCUCUAGCUUCCCACCCCCAUAAGGAAAAAUUUUUUUUCUCAUCUUUGUUGUUUUAAGGAAGAACAAUUUAAUGAAUUUUCUCAAGUCAUCCCUUUGAAAUAGAGUCCCUUUUCUUUUUCUCUCUUUUUGGCAAAAUACGUACUGGAUUUUUAUUUCCUGCUUUUGGUUUUUUUCCCCACAUGUGUCAGCCGUUAUGCUCAGACAGUUUAUUCUCAAUUUUUCUACUGGACUUAUGCCCCAUGAUGGAAAGGGUGUGUGCUUCUCUUUCAAUCAAGACCUGCAUGAUUGGGAUCUUGAGGCAUUUGUUGCUUAUAUCAUGAACUAUAAAUUGAUCGUCUCAGAGCUCUGAGUUUGCCAGAAAGUUCUUACUCAUUUCAAAGAAUUGGAUUCUGCUUGGCUUUUUUUUUUUUUUUUAAUCCAUUUUGACCCUUUGAGGAUAUUCUAUAUAGAGUUGAAAUCUCCUAUCCACCUUAAGAAAUUUGGAGCUUUGGACUUGUGUGAGCAUACGGGUCCCCCAGUUAACGGUGGAUAUACUUUCCUGCUUUCCUGUAUUUUGCUCUUCUGCAUCUGAGUAAAAAUGUAUGAGCGGCACAAGAGGCGUUACAGCCUGUGUGACAUCUCCAAAGUGGACAGGACUGUAGAUGUGGUGUUGCUGAAGGUAAGAGGGGGCAAUACCUCAUGCAUUAUGAAACUUUCCAUGCUAUUUUCUC